ACUCCCAAAUGCAUCCUUCUUAUUAUUAAUUAGUGACUAUUGAUAAGUUGAUGCUUUCAAUUCUUUUUAUCAGAGAAUGAGACAUUUAAAUGGCCAACCAAUUUACAACAUCUAGACUUGAGUUCAAACCGUUUGAGCAACAAAUCUCUUUCAUCUCUGAAUGACCUUCCACAUCUCCAAUAUCUUGAUUUAAGUCAAAAUCAAUUAGAAGGAGCACUAGANAUAAGAGGUAGGUAUUUUUUAUCCAUUAUUUUAGGACAUUCAUUAUUUAUUCUAAUGUUUUAGAAUUAAUAUUUAAUUAUUCAUUUACUUUGCAUAAUGAUACAACAUUAUAGAUAUAUUAGGGUAAAUUAAUAUAAACAUCCAUAUCAAUAGAAAUAUAAUUUAUAUUCAUGUAAACAUAUUCUUUUUACAUCAAUAACACUCUCAUCUCAACAAUUACAUUUUCAUACCAAACAAAUUGCACAAAAAAAUUUACUAUUGAAUUACUUUCAUCUAAGAUAUAUCAGAAAUAACAUUGUAGGCUUAACUUUCUCAAUUAUUAAGAAUAAAAUAUACUUUAAUCCAUUAUCAUUUCUAUAUAAUGAAUUAUGUUUAUUAAUAAGAAACAUAAAGAUCUAUGCACGCUCCUUAUCCUUAGUGAAUAUUGAUAAGUUGAUGUUUUCAAUUUUAUUUUUAUCAGAGAAUGAGACAUUUAAAUGGCCAACCAAUUUACAACAUCUAGAACUGGGUGAAAACAGUUUGAGCAACGAAUUUCUUUCAUCUCUGAUGGGCCUUCCACGUCUCCAGUUUCUUGAUUUAAGCGACAAUCAAUUACAAGGAAGUGGUCAGUAUUUUUAUUUAUUAUUUUAUUAGAACAUUAAAUAAAAAUAUAGUGAUUAUAGAUAAGUUGAUGCUUUCAGUUUUGUUUUAUGAGUGAAUUGACUCAUAACCACAUGUUUCCAUUUUGUUUUUAUCAGAGAAUGAGACAAUUAAAUGACCAACCAAUUUACAACAUCUUGAACUGAAUUCAAACCGUUUGACCAAUAGAAUUCAAAAUUUAAUUACUUUAAAACAAAAUCAAAUCUUUUAUUUUAAGUUAUGUUAUAUUUUCUACUAUCUUUUAGAAGAUCACUUUUGAUUGGAAAAAGAUUAAUAUUUGAAAGAAAAAAAGUUUAGAAAUUAGAUGAAGAAAAAAAUAAUUAUAAAGAGAUAGUAAAAUUCGGAAAUUUAUAUACUUAACAUAAUUAGAACUUUGAUUUUUGUUAUUUUUAAAACCAUUUCUACUAAACAUCAAAACAAAUCUUAGAAUCAAUAUAUAAAGUAGUUGCUCUUUAUUGAGAUUAACAUUUAUACAAUGCUAACGUACGUAAGAAAAUCUAUUUAAUCCAUCAAGUGAUAUAUCAUGGUUAAUUUUAUUUUUAAGAUAAUCAAUAUUUCAAAAGUCCAUAAAUUACAACACAACUAUUUAUAUCAUAAAACAAAAGUAUUACACUCUUAUAUAAACGAUCGAUUUAUUUAUUCAUUAUAAGAAAAGCUUAUAUUAGGAUUGCGUUUCCACUUUAUAUGGACUAUAUUUUUAUUAUAUUUGCAUCAUUCAUCUUUUAAAUUUUGAAUUGUGAGUGAAACUAAAUUUCAUUAAAAUUAUGUUUCAAUUUUAUUUAAAAUAUUUGUGUUAUGUUUUAAUUCGAUUUUGAAUUAUGUUUGAUUCAAUUUGAUGAAUUAUGUUUUGAAUAAAUUUAUUUUUUAUUUGACUUAUGUUUAAAUUUAGGCUUAAUACCUCCUGUGGUUCUUGUAUUUGUGUGAAAAUCUCAGUUCGGUCCUCAAGUUUUGAAGUGUCUCAAUUGGGUCAUAAUUUUUGUAAAAAUGCACACAUUUUACCCCAACCGUUAACUGAUCUCAAACGGCGUUAAGUUUAGCUGACGUGGUAUGUUGACGUGUUGGCUUAAUCACUUCUUGGUUCUCGUAUUUGUGUGAAAAUCUCAGUUCGGUCCUCAAGUUUUGAACUGUCUCAAUUGGGUCAUUAUUUUUGUAAAAAUGCACACAUUUUACCCCAAUCGUUAACUGAUCUCAAACGGCGUUAAGUUUAGUUGACAUGGUAGCCAGAGGACAUGCUGACGUGUAUUAUUUAAUUAUAUGAAUUAUUUUUUCAAAUAAGCAGUGUUUCACGUGGCACAAUGCCUAUUAUUUAGUUUAUUUGAAUUAGGAUUUUACACAGAUUAUCUCGUCGGCUCAAAAAAUAAAGUCACCGGAAAACUCACGUAACCAGUGCAAUCAGUCUCACAGCCUUUUCUUCAAAUGAACCAACUUCGUAACCUAUAGGUUCAUCACUAGCCUUUAAGCUAUUUAUUCCACUGAUAGCAGAAGAUAAUUGUUACACAGUGAGAUCAGUUAGCGAUUAGGGUAAAAUGUGUGCAUUUUUACAAAAAUUAUGACCCAAUUGAGACAGUUAAAAACUUGAAGAUCAAACUGAUAUUUUCACACAAAUACGAGGAUCAAGGGAGGUAUUAAACCUUAAAUUUAAUCUAAAUUAUUAUAUAUGACUAGAUAACAUUGUAUUAGAUAUUAUAUAGUGCAAAGAGAUAAAUAAUAUUGAUGGUCUGAAUAAUUUUUUCGUUCUAAUUAAUUACUGAUGAAAUUGGUUUUGGAAGUAGAUAAUGCGAAAUUUUACACCUAGGUAAUAUUAGCAAUUAAUAUGUCCAAUGUUAAUUUAUAUCCAAUGAUGACCGUCUCGGGCAUAAAAUCAAUAUAUAAAAUAUAAAUAAAUAUAAAUGUUAAACUGUAUUAAAAGUUUACUAUCAAUUAGAAAUAAAAUCAAUAUAUAAUAUAUAAUAUAUAAAUAAAUAUAAGUGUUAGUGGACUCUCAUCCCUCAACUCUUUAUAUUUAAGACACAGUGGAUUAAGUUGGAAAUCAAUUAAUAGUAGGGCUCCAUAUACUUUCCAUAUUACAAAUCUUUAUCAUUUGUUUUUUUUUAUUAGAAAGUAUAUCUAACAGCAUAUAUAAAUGAUUAGAUAUUUCAAAAUUGAGUUAUUUGGAGGUCCUUGACUUAGGAGAGAACUACUUGAAUGAGUUUGAAAUUAUAUUGUGGUAUUCUUGUAAUUAGUAUUUGAUAUUAUUUUAUAUUUAAACAAGAUAUCACUUACUUUGAACAUUAGCAUUGCAUCUCCUUAUUAUUAAUUAGUGUGAUUACUGAUAAGUUGAUGCUUUCAAUUUUGUUUUUAUUAGAGAAUGAGACAUUUAAAUGGCCAACCAAUUUACAAUAUCUAGACUUGAGUUCAAACCGUUUGAGCAACAAAUCUCUUUCAUCUCUGAAUGACCUUCCACAUCUCCAAUAUCUUGAUUUAAGUCAAAAUCAAUUAGAAGGAGCACUAGACAUAAGAGGUAGGUAUUUUUUAUCCAUUAUUUUAGGACAUUCAUUAUUUAUUCUAAUGUUUUAGAAUUAAUAUUUAAUUAUUCAUUUACUUUGCAUAAUGAUACAACAUUAUAGAUAUAUUAGGGUAAAUUAAUAUAAAC
rnacentral:lncRNA from 1 species